AGAGUCUUAUCCUGGCUCAGGACGAACGCUGGCGGCGUGCCUAAUACAUGCAAGUCGAGCGAACUGAUUAAGAAGCUUGCUUCUUAAGACGUUAGCGGCGGACGGGUGAGUAACACGAGGGCAACCUGCCCUAUAGUUGGGGAUAACUCCGGGAAACCGGGGCUAAUACCGAAUGAUACAUUUUAACUCCUGUUAGAAUGUUGAAAGAUGGUUUACGCUAUCGCUAUAGGAUGGGCCCGCGGCGCAUUAGCUAGUUGGUGAGGUAACGGCUCACCAAGGCGACGAUGCGUAGCCGACCUGAGAGGGUGAUCGGCCACACUGGGACUGAGACACGGCCCAGACUCCUACGGGAGGCAGCAGUAGGGAAUCUUCCACAAUGGGCGAAAGCCUGAUGGAGCAACGCCGCGUGAGUGAAGAAGGUUUUCGGAUCGUAAAACUCUGUUGUAAGGGAAGAACAAGUACAGUAGUGACUGGCUGUACCUUGACGGUACCUUAUUAGAAAGCCACGGCUAACUACGUGCCAGCAGCCGCGGUAAUACGUAGGUGGCAAGCGUUGUCCGGAUUUAUUGGGCGUAAAGCGCGCGCAGGUGGUUUCUUAAGUCUGAUGUGAAAGCCCACGGCUCAACCGUGGAGGGUCAUUGGAAACUGGGAGACUUGAGUGCAGAAGAGGAAAGUGGAAUUCCAAGUGUAGCGGUGAAAUGCGUAGAGAUUUGGAGGAACACCAGUGGCGAAGGCGACUUUCUGGUCUGUAACUGACACUGAGGCGCGAAAGCGUGGGGAGCAGACAAAAUUAGAUACCCUGGUAGUCCCCGCCGUAAAC
rnacentral:rRNA from 1 species